rnacentral:rRNA from 1 species
GCAAAACGCGAAGAACCUUACCUACUCUUGACAUCCAGAGAACUUUCCAGAGAUGGAUUGGUGCCUUCGGGAACUCUGAGACAGGUGCUGCAUGGCUGUCGUCAGCUCGUGUUGUGAAAUGUUGGGUUAAGUCCCGCAACGAGCGCAACCCGUUAUCCUUUGUUGCCAGCGGUUAGGCCGGGAACUCAAAGGAGACUGCCAGUGAUAAACUGGAGGAAGGUGGGGAUGACGUCAAGUCAUCAUGGCCCUUACGAGUAGGGCUACACACGUGCUACAAUGGCGCAUACAAAGAGAAGCGACCUCGCGAGAGCAAGCGGACCUCAUAAAGUGCGUCGUAGUCCGGAUUGGAGUCUGCAACUCGACUCCAUGAAGUCGGAAUCGCUAGUAAUCGUGGAUCAGAAUGCCACGGUGAAUACGUU